rnacentral:lncRNA from 1 species
GGGAAGGCUGGUGACUUUGUCUCCCAUGACUAGUCAUGAUGCCUGCUUUACAGGAGGUGAGAGCCUAGUGCAUAAUGAGCACACAGAACUGCCCAGCUCUGCUGGUGCCUUGUCUGGGUAAACACUUCUGUAGUUAGAGCAAGAAAUGUAGACCACACACACACAAAAAAGAGAACGCCUAUACUAUUAAAAUUGUCACCAGCUCUCUCUGACGUCAGUAAUCAGCCCAUCUGUGUGACGCAACUCUGUUGGGUGAGAACGAAACAAGUAAGCAGACAAGAAGGACAUGCCAAAGGGCUAGAGAAGGAAGCGAAGGCAGGAUUUAUCGCUACUUAACAACAUUUCACAGACAUCAAUGGACUCUCACUUUAAACCACCUUUAGUGGGAGGUGGAAUGACCUACAAAAUGAAAUGAGUGCAAAAGAGUCAUACUGGAUGAGUGACACACAAGAGUACAGGUCAGAUAUCACUACUGGACUCCAGUUUCGACCAGCCUGCUUUAGGAGUUUGGUCUCUGACUUAGUGUUAGUCUUCUAGAGGGGCCCACUAAUAUCUCCUCACUGGCCACUUACAUUCUCCUUCCAUGUGGUUUAGUGUUUCCCAGAGAGAAGUGAAAUAAAUGUUUUGCAUGGAAGGUAAACUUUGCACCACCCUGCCUGCACUCGUAAGUCAGCUCUCAGUGCUUUGUCUCCUCCAGACGAUAAACAUCACCUUUAGCUUGCACAGUGCUUCACUUGAGGCUGGUCCUUGGGUCACUAGUGGCCUCUAGGACUUCUGCUAAUACAGUCCCCACUCCUACCAUUUCUAUUGUGCCUUGCAAAAAUGAAAUGCCACGGCCAGCUUUGCUUCCCACUUGUUGAUGGGGCCACUGUUCCUGGCCUUUGUAGCAUUGUAUGUGGAUCCCCCUUUAGUUGUGAGAAAGGGGACUUGACACUGCUAUGCCUUUGUCUUGAUCUUUAUGCAUUCAGCUAUAUCAUAACUGCCCGUCGUGCUGAAAAAGUGGCCUAUUCUUAUCACUCCACAACUGCAGUCCAUGAUGUCUUU